UAGAGCUAAUACAUGCAACCAAGCUCCGACCUUCGUGGGAAGAGCGCUCUUAUUAGACCGAGGCCAACCUGCUGGGCAACUGGCAGUUUGCUGUGGUGACUCUGAAUAAGCACAGUUGAUCGCACGACUCUACGUCGGCGACGUAUCUUUCAAGCGUAUGCCCUAUCAGCUGUCGACGGUAGGGUAGUGGCCUACCGUGGCAUCAACGGGUAACGGGGGAUCAGGGUCCGAUCCCGGAGAGUAAGCCUGAGAGACGGCUUACACAUCUAAGGAAGGCAGCAGGCGCGCAAAUUACCCAAUGGGGACACCCUGAGGUAGUGACAAGAAAUAACAAUACGCGACUCUUUCGAGGCCGCGUAAUUGGAAUGAGCACAGUCUAAAUCCUUUAGCGAGGAUCAAUUGGAGGGCAAGUCUGGUGCCAGCAGCCGCGGUAAUUCCAGCUCCAAUAGCGUAUAUUAAAGUUGCUGCAGUUAAAAAGCUCGUAGUUGACAAUCGGUGCUYGUCUCGGCGGUCCUGUUCACGCAGGCACUGCCUUGAUGGCCUCUACACACUGGCUUGAGGUCGGGCAGGCUGGGCAACUGGCGGUUCGACCAAAGCCCCGGGUGCCCUUUAUUGGGUGCCCGUGGGUGGCCUUUGCGUUUACUUUGAAGAAAUUAGAGUGUUCAAAGCGGGCUAUCUAUAGCUCGGAUACUCGUACAUGGAAUAAUGGAAUAGGACCCUGGGUCAUUUCCGUUGGUCUAUGGCCAUUGGGUAAUGAUUAAAAGGGACUGCCGGGGGCAUUGGUAUGGGUGGGGGGAAAGAGGUGAAAUUCCGUGAUCCUCGCCAGACCAACUACAGCGAAAGCAUUUGCCAAGAAUGUCUUCAUUAAUCAAGAACGAAAGUCAGAGGUUCGAAGACGAUCAGAUACCGUCGUAGUUCUGACCAUAAACGAUGCCAGCUUGGAAGUGGCGAUGGUUGUAUUUCAUGACCCCGCCACGGCCCGUCGGGAAACCAUAAGCGUUUGGGUUCCGGGGGAAGUAUGGUUGCAAAGCUGAAACUUAAAGGAAUUGACGGAAGGGCACCACCAGGAGUGGAGCCUGCGGCUUAAUUUGACUCAACACGGGAAAACUCACCCGGCCCGGACACUGCAAGGAUUGACAGAUUGAGAGCUCUUUCUCGAUUCGGUGGAUGGUGGUGCAUGGCCGUUCUUAGUUGGUGGAGUGAUUUGUCUGGUUAAUUCCGAUAACGAACGAGACUCUAGCCUACUAACUAGUUCGCCGAUCUGCUUCUGUGGGUCGGUAAUAAACUUCUUAGAGGGACAAGUGGCGCUUAGCCACGCGAGAUGGAGCAAUAACAGGUCUGUGAUGCCCUUAGAUGUCCGGGGCCGCACGCGCGCUACACUGAAAGAAUCAACGU
rnacentral:rRNA from 1 species